rnacentral:lncRNA from 1 species
CACCUCUUGAAUGGUGAUAUAGGGAUCUCCUAUGCUAACCACCGCGCUAAAGUAUUUGACACUAAGAUCACUUGGGGCUUGAGCUGUUCUUCUUUAUUUGGCCAUGCAAAGAGUCUGCAACGACCCUAAAACUCCACUCUUUGCCACUGGUAAAUGACUACUCUACACUUUUUUUUUUCCUUCUUUUUCAUUUGUUUAUACAUUCAUGCUUUAUUCUUUCCAUUCAGAAUAAGAAUUUUUUUCCAUAUUAAGCAAUAAUUACAACCCUUUGAAUCUUUUUUUAGCAAACAAUUUGAAUCCCUUGAUUGUAUUCUUGUCAUUUUUAUAAGGAAUUUCUGAAGAAACCUUAAUACUAUAAUCUUCCAAUUAAUAAGGCUAAAAUCUCGCCCAGACAAUUGAAAAAUGGAGGACCCCUAUUGCUAAUUUCCCUCUUACAGAUACAUAGUAAAGCAACUUUUAAGUUCUUGUUUACACAUAUAUAUAGAACAAAAUUUAAAUUUCACAUUUCCUUUAUCAUUACGUUUUGUAUCCAUACUCUAUCCAUUAGACUCUUGAAAGGUUUAGUACGAUAGGACUAAAGAAUAAAAACUGGUUUUGUAGGUAUUUGACCUCUAUGAUUCUCUUAUGCCAUUGCCAACGUGUAGUACUAUUUAUCAUUUCACAGAUUCCUCUGAUACUAUAUUGUUGUUUGUUUACGAAACCGUUAAUGUAAAAUUUUCCUUAAGUGGAAACUGGUUUUGUAGGUUCUUGAUCUCAGCGAUUCUCUCAUGCAAAUUGAUGGAACAAGUUAAUAUAUUUCCUCAAAGUCUUUGGGAUUUGCAGCCCAGUAGACUCCUCAAGAAUGGUUAGUCCGUUAAUAAUGUUUUUCAUUGCUUCAAUCGAAUAUAUUCAUUGACCUUUUGUUACGUGAGUGGACACACAAGUUUUCUGUUACGAGAAAGAGUUAUAGCUGUGACCCUCUGUGUGCCUUUGGCUGAAAUGCUAGGUCCAACACCUAUGGCUGCCUUUCAGAUAUGCUUACAGGUCUGGACGACAUUGUCACUUAUUGUUGAUGGUUUGGCUAUUGCAGUUCAAGUAUCAAAUAUUGAAUAGAUUGUUGAAUCUUUUUUCUCCAAAUUGAAUCAUUUGUAGAAGCAAAUCUUAAAGUAAUCAAACAAAUUUGGGGUAGACUAUAAAUCAGUUUAAUAAAUUUGUAAGAUCAAGAAAAUCUACUUCGUGUCAGUCGUUACUCUGUCGAAAAUUGAACCAAAAUGCUUUAAUGAAAGUGAUGUGCUUACACUUCCUCUUCUCACUGUAAAUUUUAAAAACAAUAUCUUAGUCUUUAAGCUCCAGAUUCAUAGUAGUGGAUGAAAACCUACCAUAUGUUGAAGCAAGUCAAAAAGAUAUUGGGAUGUGUGUCAAUAGUUUUAAGCUCGCUUUACCAUCCUCCUUGGAACCGACUUUGAGACGGAUGCAGAGUGGGAAAUCUGAUUCUACAAACUUAGAUAUUUUGUUGAAGACUCAGACUUCAUCACAAGUUGAUGAAGUGUAUAAGGGUUUAGAGUUUAUGAUGAAAUGUGACCUUCGCAAGACAUAAAAGUAUGGUUUUUAAUUUCAUGAUAACUUUGGGUUUGUUCGUUUUUGAUGAAUUUUUAGUCUAAUUCGAUUGGAAUCGAGCCAAUGAAUAAAACACAGUGCCUUCACCCUAACGCAAGACCAAUUUUAGGCAAAAUCCAUCGUUUAGGCGUUUUUGCUAUUUAUGGUAAUUUUUGUUUUUGUAAUAUCUUUUUCCAUGAAAUUCGGAUUUAUAUUCCGUUUGUUGGAGGAUGAUCCUGAAGAUAAGGAUUUUCCAUCUUAGUAGUUAUCUCAUAUUUUUCUAUUUUUAGAAAAAUAUCUUUUUAUUUUAUUUUCCGAAUUUUGCUAGGUUUUUUUUUCUAUUAAAGGCGUUGUAAACCCUUUGAGGCAACAAUUCUUGAAUUCAAUAAAAUUUUCCUUGAGAGUUUUCUCAUUCUGUGAUUGUUCAUUUUUCCUAUAAUCUUCCGCUACGUCAGUUGGUAUCAGAGCCGAAAUCGUUCCUUCUGCAUGCCGCCAAGGAGAUGUUCUGAAGCCCGUGAUACCCCAGUAGAGGAGAUAUAUAGACGUGAUGAAAUCGCACAGCUACGUUAACAAGUGGAAUUGCUGACACAGCAGAUCGCUGCGCUUAUGCCACAGCAGCCUGCGCCUGCAGGCCAACAAUUUGAGGAUUCUGAUGAUGAGAAUCCGUUUGCACAGCUUGAACAACCAUUGGAUCCGCCAGUUCGCCAGAGAAGGGGUAGUCAGGAGGACAACCGACGUUGGGAAUCAGGAUUUAAGGUUGAUAUUCCAGAAUUUCAUGGUGGGUUAAGUCCAGAAGAAUUCUUGGAUUGGGUGACUGCAGUGGAGGAGAUCUUGGAGUUUAAAGAGGUUCUUGUUGAUAAAUGUGUGCCUCUCGUUGCGACGAGGCUUCGUGGGCGAGCAGCGGCGUGGUGGCAGUAGACUAAAGUGACUAGAUCCAGGCUAGGGAAUUUCAAGCUUGCAUCGUGGGACAAAUUGAAGAAGCAUAUGAAGAAACAGUUUCUGCCUGACAAUUAUUUGCGGAUCAUGUACCAACAAUUGCAGAAUCUGCGUCAAGGUGGGAAAAUAGUUAGUGAUUAUACCACGAAUUUUUAUAUGUUGGUUACGAGGAACGAGAUGAUGGAGACGGAGGAGCAGUUGGUGUCACGGUACGUGGGUUGUCUUCGUUCCCAAAUACAAGAUACUCUCAAUAUGUUUGGUCCUGCGAUAGUUUCUGAAGCACAUCAGAGGGCAAUACAGAUAGAGAAGCAACAAUCCAGAAGAACUACUAGUCCUUUCAUUGCAGGGAGUUCUUCCAAUAACCCACAACAACAGGUGACACAUCCUGGUAAUCUUGCUCAAUCUGGUCCUCUUAGAACAAAUCCUGUUCAACAACCAACACGUCCUAGGGUUGGUAUUCGUUGUUUUGGAUGCGGAGUUACAGUCCAUAGGCAGUCUGAGUGCCCUAAAAAUCCACGCAGGGGACUCUUUGUUGAUGAGGGGAAUGGCGAUUAUGAAGGUCCACCUGUAUUUGACGGUGAAGGCGUAGAAGAAGCAACAGAAGAGGAAAAGGUUGUGGUUGGUGAUGUGGGUCAGGCACCGAUGGUGAGGAGGAGUUUCUUGACUCCCUUGGAGAAUAACACUGAUUGGUUGCGUAACAAUAUCUUUCAAUCGACAUGUACUGUUGGAGGGAAGGUAUGUAAAUUUGUUAUUGAUUCUGGUAGUUGCGAGAAUGUGGUGGCUGAGGAGGUUGUUAAGAAGUUGGGUUUGCAGACUGAGAAACAUCCCAAACCGUACAAAUUAUCCUGGCUGAAGAGAGGCAACGAUGUAGAAGUGUCUCACCGUGCUCGAAUCAGCUUCUCAAUUGGACCUACCUACAAGGAUCAGGUUAUAGUACAGAUGGAUGCAUGUCAUUUAUUGUUUGGGAGGCCGUGGUAGUUUGACAGGCACUCACUGCAUGAUGGACAUACCAACACGUACAGUUUUCUGUUUGGGAGAAAGAAAAUUCUGUUACUACCGAAUAAGGGUUUAGUGCAAACAGUUGGGAACAACGCCAAUUUACUGACCAAAAAGAAGUUCGAGACCGAGAUGGAGGAGUCUGGGGUAGUGUAUGUGCUGGUGGGAAAAUUGAUACAGUGAGCAUGAAAUCCCUCUUGCAGUUCAGCAUUGCUAAAGAAGUUUCAUGAAGUUUUCCCAAAAGAUCUUCUAGAUGGAUUAUCACUACUACGGGAUAUUCAGCAUCAGAUUGACUUGGUGCCUGGUGCUGCCCUACCUAACCGAGCGCAUUACAGAAUGAGCCCCACUGAGCAUGAGGAGUUGCGCAGGCAAGUUGAGGAGCUUCUGGCAAAAGGACACAUCAGGGAAAGUCUUAGUCCUUGUGUUGUUCCUGCUCUUCUCACGCCGAAGAAGGAUGUCAUGUGGCGCAUGUGCGUGGAUAGUAGGGCGAUCAAUAAGAUUAUGGUGCGUUACCAUUUUCCUAUUCCUCGCCUGGAUGAUUUGUUGGACCAGCUUACCAGUGCUUGUGUGUUUAGCAAGCUUGAUUUGAAGAGUGGGUACCAUCAGAUUCGGAUCAGACAUGGGGAUGAGUGGAAGAUCGCAUUUAAGACGAGGGAAGGAUUGUACGAGUGGUUAGUCAUGCCCUUCGGCCUCUCAAAUGCACCCAGUACGUUCAUGCUGGUUAUGAAUCAGGCUCUUCGCUCAUUCGUCGGUAAAUUUGUUGUGGUCUACUUUGAUGAUAUUUUAAUUUAUAGUGCUAACGAUGAUGAUCAUGUCCAGCACGUUGGGGAAGUUCUUUCAGUUCUUCGCAUGGAUAAAUUCUAUGCUGCAGUGAAGAAGUGUUCAUUUCUUAUUGAUAGUGUGGUGUUCCUGGGUUAUGUGGUGUCGAAGGCGGGGUUAGCAGUUGAUACAUCUAAAGUAGAGGCGAUCAGUGGCCACAACCCAAGACUGUCACUGAGGUGCGGAGUUUUCAUGGCCUUGCUUCCUUCUAUCGCAAGUUCAUACCACAUUUUAGCAGCAUCAUGGCACCAAUUACAGAUUGCAUGAAGGAUGGUAGGUUCCAGUGGACUCACGAGGCAGAGUCGUCUUUCCAAUUGAUUAAGCAGAAGUUGACUACUGCUCCAAUUUUGGUGUUGCUUGACUUUACCCAACCAUUUGAGCUACAUUGUGAUGCUUCGAAAGUGGGUAUUGGCGGUGUGCUGAGUUAGAACAACCGCCCUGUUGCAUAUUUCAGUGAGAAGCUUUCUAGCUCGAAGUCUCGGUAUGAUACUUAUGAUGUGGAGUUCUAUGCAAUAGUCUAGGCCGUUCGACAUUGGCGUCACUAUUUGUUCCAUAAGGAGUUCAUUUUGUAUAUGGAUCAUGUCGCCCUUAAACACUUUGGUACUCAAGAUAAGGUAUCUGCUCGACAUGCCUCUUGGAUUGCUUACUUACAGCAUUUUACUUUUGUGAUCAAGCACAAGGCAAGUGCUCUUAACAAAAUUGCAGAUGCAUGGAGUAGGCGCCAAACUCUCCUUACAGAAAUGCAUGUGGAGGUUCCAGAAGUUGCGAAGGGUGUGCAGUCGGAGUUUGCAUGGGUUGAUGGUUUUCUUUUUCAUGGCAAUCAGUUGUAUAUUCUAGAGGGCAGUUUGAAGUUGAAGAUCAUUUAAGAAUUAUAUAAUGAGAGCCAUGUGGGUCCUGACUGAACAUUGGAGCUUGUUGCUGCUUCUUACUUUUGUCCAUCAUUGCGCAAAGAUGUCGGCAAGUUUGUGGAGCGUUGUCGGGUUUGCCACUUGCCCAAGGGUAAGGCGACAAAUGUGGGCCUGUAUAUGCCCUUGCCUAUUCCAACCCAGCCUUGGACAGACGUGAGCAUGGGUUUCGUUGUGGGACUCCCCAGGACUAAACGUGGGUUUGAUUCGAUCUUCGUAGUGGUUGAUCGAUUUUCAAAGAUGGUACAUUUCAUCCCCUGCAAGAAGACUACAGAUGCUAUCAACGUGGCAUUACUGUAUUUUCGUGAGGUUUAUCGCCUGCAUAGACUACCUACAUCUAUUAUGUCUGAUCGGGAUACUCGUUUCCUCAGCCACUUCUAGCGCAGCUUAUGGCGCUCGGUGAAUACAUGGUUGGACUUCAACAGUGCAUAUCACCUUCAGACAGAUGGUCAAAUAGAAGUUGUUAACCGUUCCUUGGGUGAUUUAUUACGUUGCCUGGUUGGUGAUCACAUCAAGUCUUGGGAUCAAAAGUUGUGUCAAGCAGAAUUUGCUCACAAUCAUGCUGUUAAUCGAAGUACAGGUUUUAGUCCGUUCCAGGUAGUGUAUGGCCUUGUUCCUCGUGGCCCUCUUGAUCUGGUUCCAGUUUCUACUUCUGUUAAAAUGCAUGGUAAGGCUGAAGACUUUAUUAAGCAAUUGCAGCAGGUUCACUCACAGGCUCAUGAUCAGUUGCAGGCUGCUGUCACUGAGUAUAAGUGUGCUGUGGAUCUUAAAUGCCGACAUGUUGAAUUUGAGGUAGGUGACUUUGUUUGGGUGAUGUUAACAAAGGAUCGUGUUCCUGCUCAUGAAUAUAACAAGCUUACUGCGAAGAAGAUUGGUCUAUUGGAGGUCAUUGAGAAGAUGCUUAUCGUUUGAAGUUGCCUAGCCAUAUUCGUACAUCUGACGUAUUCAAUAUCAAGCAUUUGGUACCAUUUCGUGGUGAUAAUUCUGAUGAGGAUGAAGCUUUUUCCCGUCAAAUUUGAGGGCGAAUUUUUCCCACCUUGGGGAGAAUGAUGAAGUGCAUAACAGAUUAGAGUUUAUGAUGAAAUGGGAUCGUCGCAAAGCAUAAAAGUGUGGUUUUUGAUUUCAUGAUAACUUCGGGUUUGUUCUUUUUGGCGAAUUGCUAGUCUAAUUUGAUUGGAAUCGAGCCAAUGAAUAAAACUCAACAUCUUUGGUCCUGACGCAAGGCUAAAUUUGGGCAAAAUCCAUCGUUUAGGCCCUCGUUCAGGCUUUUUGCUAUUUAUGAUAAUUUUUAUUUUUGGAAUAUAUUUUUCCAUAAAAUUCGAAUUUAUAUUCCAUUUGUUGGAGGAUGAUCCUGAAGAAAGGAUUUUCUAUCUUAGUAGUUAUCUCAUAUUUUUCUAUUUUUGAAAAAAUAUCUUUUUAUUUUAUUUUCUGAAUUUUGCUAAGUUUUUUUUUUUCUAUUAAAGGCAUUGUAAGCCCUUUGAGAUAAUAGUUCUUGAAUUCAAUAAAAUUUUCCUUGAGAGUUUUCUCAUUUUGUAAUUGUUCAUCUUCCCUAUAAUCUUCUGCUACGUCACAAGUCUUUCAAAUUGAAGUUAAGUUUCAUUAGUUUGUCCAUUCAUCAACGAAAAUCAAUUCAAGUAGCAAUAGCGUCCUUUUAGGUAUCAAGGCCGGCCCUGGCCCAAGGCAAACUAGGCAAAGGCCUAGGGCCUCAAAUUUUUGGGGGCCUCAUAAGUUAGGCCUAGUCCCCAAUAAGUUCAAAACCCACCCAAGGCUUGAGAAAGAAAAAAUAAGUAUAGGUUUAGCUAGUAGAGAGAGGAAGAAACGAGAUGAUUUAUUGAGCUAAUUUCUCCAAUUCCUUCCGUCAACGCCACUGGAGCAUCCCAAGAAGGAAACGACGAUCGAAGUCUGAAGCAUCCAAAAUCUGAAAUGGGUUGGUGGCCCUGUUGCUCUUUCAGCUAAAUCUAAAUUGGAAUGACUCUUUCGAAUAAGAAAUUGCAAGUGUUAUUUCUCCAAAUUUAUAAUGAACUUACCCGGCCUGUAGUAUGAAAGACAUUAUUGAAGAAGGCAAUUUGUUUGCUGCAACUAAUGGAAUAAAGUUUUCUUUCUUCUGAUUUUGUUAGGUAAGUUGUGAAAAUCCUUGUUUGCUCAUUGCUACUGAAUUGAGGAAAAAAGAGUAAGAUUGGUUCUAAAAAUAGGCAACAACUAUUGAAUCUUAUGAACUGAGCAGAAGGCAGUUUAUGUAGGUGGGUGGGGUCUAAUUGAUUGCAUAAUUUACUAAUGUUUUCUGUGCAGAAUUUGGAUCAAUUUUAAUUAAUGAUUAUCAGUUCGCUUGUACUAGUUGGAUGCUAACUAUCAUUUGUACCCUUAUUUUCAAAUGUUGAAGAUGAUUUUAAAGAUUUCCCCCCUUUUCCUCUCUUUUUUGAAGAGAUUCUUUUUUUUUUUCCUUUUUAAUUUAAUGGAUUUAUGGUAUUUCAUUACUGGUCUAUAUUCUAGAAUAAGAUCUUUUUUCAGUUUCUGCUUUAAAAUAUUCUCCAUUCUCACUAGUCGAAGUUGUAUAUGAUGAGCUCGUAUAAAAUUUGAAAUAACAUCGCUAAAAUUUCUGGAGACUCACGAGUGAUAAAUUGAAGUUGCUAAAACUUAUUAAAACAAUAGUAAAUAGAUAUUUCUUCCAACCUUGGUAAAGUGAUCAAAGUUCUCAAAACCAACCCUAGUAUAGAGGGCAAUGACGUUGCAGUAGAAAAUAUAAGUAUUGCUACGCCUAUAAAAAGAUUAUGUUUAAGGGCCUCAAAAUAAUUAGUCGUUUAGGGUCUCAAAAUUAUUAGGACCGGCCCUGUUUGGUAUAGUUGGUUGAUUCUGUCCACCUUUAUCUGUUUGCCACUUUUCGAGGCUAUCCUUCCUUGAGCAUUUGCUGAGGACCAUCAUAAAGCAGCUACUACUGCAGUCGAGUAUUUUGGACAGUUAUCUAUGGUUACCUUAGCGUGAAUUCUUGAUACAAAGUACAUGGUUGAAUUCAUUCAGUUUUUGUUUUUUGGAAAUUUGUUAUGCAAAUUGAUUUCGAUCAAUUUUUGAAUUAAUGUUUCUUGAAAUUGAGCCCCAAAUAUGGAUUUGGUCAACCAUAGAAUGAGGGUUUUUAUGACGAUUUUGCAUAUUUACAGCCAGAAUCUUAUCAUUCUAUCAGAAAUAUUGGCUAAAUUUGAACCGAACAUACAUUUUUUCAGAUGAUAUGCUUAAAGCAUGGAAGGAAAGCCCAUCUUCUAGAAGGGUCCACGGUUAGUGUAUUUGUGCAAUUUGUAAUCCAUCAAGAUCUUUUAAUGUUGUCACGGGACAUGCUAAUUCCUCG